rnacentral:sRNA from 1 species
AGGGCUCCCUUGCUGCCCGCCUUGGGGGCCAUGUCCGGGGCUCCCUGGGGGUGAGAGCCGGGCUGGGAGCCGGGGGGCCGUCCCGAUGCCCGCCCUGCGCACGGCAGGAUCUUCCUGUUAGUGCGAGAAGAACAGGAUCGACCUGUGUGAGCAAACAGAGCAAGCCAGUGUCCAGCCUUGCCGAGUCCUCCCCGGGGGCCGACCCGGAAGGCGCCCCGCUCCUGCCCACCCCACCUUCAGCUUGCCACAGCAGUCCUUCCGAUGGUGUCUCAGAGGAGAAUCCCAAGCCUUCCUCAUGUCCAUAAGGAUUUGAGCUCUGUCCCUGGGAUGCCCCUUGGUGUGGCCACUGCAAGGCUCUGGCCCCUGAGUAUGCCAAAGCCGCUGGGAAGCUGAAGGCAGAAGGUUCCGAGAUCAGGUUGGCCAAGGUGGACGCCACGGAGGAGUCUGACCUGGCCCAGCAGUACGGCGUGCGCGGCUAUCCCACCAUCAAGUUCUUCAGGAAUGGAGACACGGCUUCCCCCAAGGAAUAUACAGCUGGCAGAGAGGCUGAUGACAUCGUGAACUGGCUGAAGAAGCGCA